rnacentral:rRNA from 1 species
UUACAUUUGAGUGAGUGGCGAACUGGUGAGUAACACGUGGGAAACCUGCCCAGAAGCGGGGGAUAACACCUGGAAACAGAUGCUAAUACCGCAUAACAACUUGGACCGCAUGGUCCGAGUUGAAAGAUGGCUUCGCUAUCACUUUUGGAUGGUCCCGCGGCGUAUUAGCUAGAUGGUGGGUAACGGCUCACCAUGGCAAUGAUACGUAGCCGACCUGAGAGGGUAAUCGGCCACAUUGGGACUGAGACACGGCCCAAACUCCUACGGGAGGCAGCAGUAGGGAAUCUUCCACAAUGGACGAAAGUCUGAUGGAGCAACGCCGCGUGAG